UGCAGCUUGCAUUGUGAAAUCACAUACUUUCUCGACCAUCAAAGAUAGUGGCCGGCAGUGAGCCUCGCAGUGUGGCCGGCUUGGUGGUUCUCGACCGAGGAGAGACGAAUCGGUAGGGCGUGUUGCGGCUAUUGGGCACACGAGAUGAUGAGUUGGUGCAGGAGUUCAUUGACAAUAUCGAUCCUGGAUUGCGAUGAAUGCCAAGAGACUUUCUCAAUUCUAAAGACUGCACCCGCCGAGACCUCUUUACACAUAAUCACACAUCGGAAUUUUUAUCGCUUGCAUUCUCCUUGUUUGUGAAUGAUCCAAAGUGUACUCGUUCAUAACUUUCUAGCCGAUUCACUCACGAGUCAUCACCUGCACGCAAAAAAAAAAAAAAAAAGAAACUUUCUUUGUUCUAUUUUAGCAACAACCCUCCAGUGAACACGACGUCCUGAGAUCUCUAACGCAGCUAUGAGCAAUUGGCUCGGUGAAGACUAGCUCACAGAGGGUCUUGGUCUCUGACGGCAAGGUUCGCG